rnacentral:rRNA from 1 species
GAACGCUGGCGGCGUGCCUAAUACAUGCAAGUCGAGCGGACUUGAUGGAGCUUGCUCCAUCAAGUUAGCGGCGGACGGGUGAGUAACACAUGGGCAACCUGCCUGUAAGACUGGGAUAACUCCGGGAAACCGGAGCUAAUACCGGAUAGUAUCUUGAACCGCAUGGUUCAAGCUGGAAAGACGGUUUCGGCUGUCACUUACAGAUGGGCCCGCGGCGCAUUAGCUAGUUGGUGAGGUAAUGGCUCACCAAGGCAACGAUGCGUAGCCUACCUGAGAGGGUGAUCGGCCACACUGGGACUGAGACACGGCCCAGACUCCUACGGGAGGCAGCAGUAGGGAAUCUUCCGCAAUGGACGAAAGUCUGACGGAGCAACGCCGCGUGAGUGAUGAAGGUUUUCGGAUCGUAAAACUCUGUUGUUAGGGAAGAACAAGUGCGAGAGUAACUGCUCGCACCUUGACGGUACCUAACCAGAAAGCCACGGCUAACUACGUGCCAGCAGCCGCGGUAAUACGUAGGUGGCAAGCGUUGUCCGGAAUUAUUGGGCGUAAAGCGCGCGCAGGCGGUUUCUUAAGUCUGAUGUGAAAGCCCCCGGCUCAACCGGGGAGGGUCAUUGGAAACUGGGAAACUUGAGUGCAGAAGAGGAGAGUGGAAUUCCACGUGUAGCGGUGAAAUGCGUAGAGAUGUGGAGGAACACCAGUGGCGAAGGCGACUCUCUGGUCUGUAACUGACGCUGAGGCGCGAAAGCGUGGGGAGCGAACAGGAUUA